AUGUAACACUUCCACCUACCAAUAAGAACUGGGCUCUGGAUUUAGAGGAAUACAAAACACUGAACUUAACCGAGAAAAAAAGGGGAAUGGCUGGACACUGAUAGUCAAAGACGAUUAUUGUAACACCUUCCCAGCAACCUGCAAGUGAAAGUUGAUGGAUGUGUUUUUCAGUUGCAUGGGCUUUUUCGUUAUUAGGUGCACUGCACUAUUGAAAUAAGGACAAUGAGGCGUGGACGUGUAAACCUUGGGUGAAUCAGGCCUAGAACACACCACUGUAUGUCUGAAAGACAUGUACAACCUUCAGUUCUUGACUGCGAAUACAGAGGGCUGAAAACUCCUAUAGCCUGCCCAGCAAAGUAGACAGUGCCAAAAAGGAAAGGAAAGGAGAGUCAUUCAGGCAGUUUCCAUGUCGCAACUCAGGAGAACUGCAGGUCAGUGGGCGACUGCCGAUCCCACCAUCAAGCCAAACCAAUCUUUACACCCAAAGCCUCAAAGACCAGCCCUGCAGGUGUCCGCUUGAGCUCACUGGGUGCCAGGCCAGUAGGCGCUGAUGCAAUGACCCGGCCACUGAUGAUUUCUACAUGUACAUUUAAACCCAUGAAAGUGCCAGAGCCAAUGUGAUGCUCCCUGUGGAAUCUGCAGUGAAGAACAACAACUGCACAGCCAGUACACAAACCUGUGCUCCCCAGCCUGCUCGACUCACCUUGCACAUUAUAUGGUCUUGAAUUUACCAGACAAGCCACUCAGUGAUCCCCUGAACCUUAUUGUUUUAAAGAAAACUUUAAAAAAAUGAUUUAGGUAACUCAAGCACGCAGAUCAGAUUACAAAUAUUCUCGGAAUCAUGACAGUUUUGGUUAUUUAGUGUAGAUCUAAUUUACUAUAGAUCAAAGUUUAAUUUGAACCCCGUACUAACAUAAAAAUAAUUAUGAUUGUUGGAAAAUGUCCAGAACAUUCAUUUAGAGGGGUUAUAGAUAAUGGAAUAAUUAAAUAAAUUAUACCUUCUGUACACUUCCGUUCGCUUUGUAGGUCUCAAGUGUGUUUUUUUUAAAUAAACACAUGUUAUAGCAGUAUUUUGAAUGGAAAAAUUUCUAUCUGGUACCAUAUUUGGUUAAUGAAAGUUCUCAGUUUGCAUGCCUUGCAUUCAGGUUGUCAGCUUACACUUCUCCUCAGCGCUGUAUUUUGGGAUGGAAGCAUAACACCGCCUGCAAGGCAUGUCACUCAUUAGGGGUUGGUUAAUAACAGAAGGAAGAACAAAACAAUUGUAACAGUGUAAAACUAAUGAGUUGAAUGAUGGGGCAGUCAUAUUAUUGUUACUUGCCAGUUUUAUACAUUUUAAAGUAUUGUAUAACUCUCUUAAAAUGUGUCUUUGCCUUUGCAUCCUAUUGUCUGGUUUCAGUGAUCCCUGAUUACCACUGCCUAAUGUAACCUAAAGUAAGUUCAUUCAAGAUUAGUGUUUGAGAAACCAGCCAUUUCAUUAUAGUACUUCUAUAUGCCAUUCUUAUUUAUGGAUUUUGCUAAUACAAAAGGGGCAUCAUUAGAUAGUAGACAAAGAAGUUUUCCUUUUAAUAUUUUGUUACAGUAUCACUAUCACUUUUGGUGUACGGUAAAGUGCUAAAAAAGGGUUAAAGUUAGUAUUAAGUAAAAAGGCUUGAGCUUUGGAUUAAACAAGAGAAACAUGGGAAGUUGAAUUGUAAUGGCAUUUUCUAUCUACUGUAAAUUUAUCAGGCAUUCAGAAAGAAACUUUGCACAGGUUAAUAAUACCUUCUUGAUGCAUUCCUUCUUUUUCUAUUGACUUGAGCAGACCUCCUACUGACUUUUAAUGGCUUAUUAGAGUUAAUUACAUUAAUUGCAAUAUAAUUGAUUUACUAAACACUAUGUAGAAAGCUCAUACAAUUAUGCAAAAAAAGUAAUUACAGAAACUGAUAAAAGAAUUUAAAUCCAACGCAUUUGGUUCCCAUUAUUGUCUAAUAGGUUGCACAUCAAAAAAUAUAGCACCUUUAUUUUAAUUCCUGAGUUGUGACAGAAUCUUUUCAAAUCACCAAACUCGACAGAUCUAGACAGAUGUAUUUCGGAAACAUACUAUUUUCAUCAUUCGUUCUAAUUCGUUAAGCCUACAAAUAUAUAUAAAAAAGAUUAGAAGAAAUAUACACAUUUUAAACACUAUUGCUCCAUUUCAUUCUCAUAUUUAUUGAGUAUUUUAAAAAAUAUAUAUUUAUUGGUUAUUGUAUAUAUUGGGAGGUGGUACUGACCAAUUAAUAAGCAGUAAAGCCACAAUUGAAUCAAUAAUUAAAUAUAAACUAAAAUAAAUAACUGAAAAAAAUGUUUUGAAAUGUAUUUAAUAAUACUGCAAUACAGUUUACAGCCAUAAUUGUACCCCUUAUUAAAUAACUUUUGAGUGCCUUAGGAGCAGAACAAUGUUACGUCCUGAUAUAUUUUGUUUUGGCCUAACUGCUUCUAUAUUACUGUAUUGCUACUAACAAGCUUUUGUAAGAGGAAGCUGCAUCCUUAAUAUAAGGCCUCAUCUUUCAACGACUUCCCUAAGGAAAAAAGUUAGGCAUUCAGAGCAAUAAAUCAAGAUAAGACUAGAGUUGAGGGCACCAUCCACCUUGUAUUCACACCCACAUUAACUGUUAAAUAAAUCAUAACAUCCUGUUCAUCGUGCCGUCGGUAAGGAUGAAUACGUUGUUAUAACUGCAGGACUAAUCACUGGCGUUGCUUUCCAGUUUUUUUGUUUGUAAGAAGCAACUAGCCCAGACCUUUAUUGGUGUGGGUCUUAAAGGAAAGCCUUUUUCCAUUCCAACUACUUCCUGCUCAUAUGAAAAUAUGGGGAAACGAGCACUUAACAGAAGGAUGGAAACACCCUUUUCCAGUCGUGUGCCUGAUUUGUCAGGUGUAUUAUUGGUACCUGGAGGCUUGUUUUGGCUGGAAUUACAUCCCCUGCAGGGGAAGUAUUACAUUUCUGGAAUGCAUUGCAGAGAAAAUAAGAUUUAUAAUUACCAAAUAGUCCACACAAGGAUUUAAGCUAACCACAAAAUGUACUUCCCACAAACUAAUUUCACUAUAAGCUUUCCAAAGUAAAACAUACAGUUCUUCACAUACAGACAUCAAAUGCAGCCUGAUAUUGUUAAAUGUGAAUUCUCUUUUGCCUUCUUUACCUUUAGUUUCCUGAUUUAGUUACCUGAUUUCAAUGUUAGUUUAGUUUUGGUGUUAAUGAGCCAAAGUUAUACAAUACCUUGCUGUGGCAAAAUGCCCGCCCCUUUUAUUAUGUAUGUAUGUAUGUGUUGUUGUUGUUGUUGUUGUUCUUCUUCUUCUUACUAUAUAUAUAAAUUGUAUUUUUGUGCAGACGGACGAAAGAUGUCCAACGUUGUUUGUUGUUCGAGACUGGCAAAAAAGCCGGUCUCAUAAAGUGUAGCUGGUGGGGAUGUGGUUGAAUCCCCAUCCCAAUAAAGCCUGUGGGAAUGUGGCUGGAGUCUUAACAAUGUAAUUGUUUAAGGUAGUUAAGGCUCCAGCCACAAUAUAAAACACCCUCCAGGCUUGGAGGCGAAACUAUAGAGAAAGAGAGAGUGAAUGCUACCGUAUUACAGCAAACAAAGGUACUCGUUUUUUUGACAAUAAUUAUUAGUGUGUGUGUUAUUUUGCUUUGGCCAAUGUGUCCUUUUCUUUUGGUGUGUUUUGUUUAAACUGCUUGUUUAUUUUUGUUUAUUAUUAAAUACAAGUGCAGCAGCACCAU